GAUGAACGCCGGCGGCGUGCCUAAUACAUGCAAGUCGAGCGAACAGACGAGGAGCUUGCUCCUCUGACGUUAGCGGCGGACGGGUGAGUAAAACGUGGAUAACCUACCUAUAAGACUGGGAUAACUUCGGGAAACCGGAGCUAAUACCGGAUAAUAUAUUGAACCGCAUGGUUCAAUAGUGAAAGACGGUUUUGCUGUCACUUAUAGAUGGAUCCGCGCCGCAUUAGCUAGUUGGUAAGGUAACGGCUUACCAAGGCAACGAUGCGUAGCCGACCUGAGAGGGUGAUCGGCCACACUGGAACUGAGACACGGUCCAGACUCCUACGGGAGGCAGCAGCAGGGAAUCUUCCGCAAUGGGCGAAAGCCUGACGGAGCAACGCCGCGUGAGUGAUGAAGGUCUUCGGAUCGUAAAACUCUGUUAUUAGGGAAGAACAAAUGUGUAAGUAACUAUGCACGUCUUGACGGUACCUAAUCAGAAAGCCACGGCUAACUACGUG
rnacentral:rRNA from 1 species